GACGAACGCUGGCGGCGUGCUUAACACAUGCAAGUCGAACGAAGAGCGAUGGAAGCUUGCUUCUAUCAAUCUUAGUGGCGAACGGGUGAGUAACGCGUAAUCAACCUGCCCUUCAGAGGGGGACAACAGUUGGAAACGACUGCUAAUACCGCAUACGAUCUAAUCUCGGCAUCGAGGAUAGAUGAAAGGUGGCCUCUACAUGUAAGCAAUCAUGGAAGGAGGGGAUGGGGUCGGAUAAGCUAGUUGGAGGGGUAACGGCCCACCAAGGCGAUGAUCAGUAGCCGGUCUGAGAGGAUGAACGGCCACAUUGGGACUGAGACACGGCCCAGACUCCUACGGGAGGCAGCAGUGGGGAAUCUUCCGCAAUGGACGAAAGUCUGACGGAGCAACGCCGCGUGAGUGAUGACGGCCUUCGGGUUGUAAAGCUCUGUUAAUCGGGACGAAAGGCCUUCUUGCGAAUAGUGAGAAGGAUUGACGGUACCGGAAGAGAAAGCCACGGCUAACUACGUG
rnacentral:rRNA from 1 species